GUAUGGGUUUGGAUUUACGGCAGGCCCACUGUCCCGCGCCUCUCAUGGUAUCCCACACCAGAGCGAACUGUGGCCCUGAACCAUUGCCCGGCCUCUGUCCAUGGGGUACUGGCACUCAAGUGGGCUGCACAGUA
ensembl:snoRNA